rnacentral:tRNA from 1 species
UCCUCGGUAGUAUAGUGGUGAGUAUCCGCGUCUGUCACAUGCGAGACCCGGGUACAAUUCCCGGCCGGGGAG